rnacentral:tRNA from 1 species
AUCCCGACCAUUUCCGACGCGCCGUAGUAUUUCAGUACGUAUGCCUAUGUAUUAUGUAUCCUAUGUAUUAUGUAU